rnacentral:rRNA from 1 species
AUGCUCCGAUCUGCCGCCGGAUUCGCGCUCCGGCGCCAGGCGCCGGCCCCUCGUUUCUCCAGCCACGGCGGCGGCAGCAGCCCUGGAUGCAGCUGCACCACCAGGCGGAUGUACUCUGGUGGCAUGAAUGAAUCCAAGAGCACGAUGGCUGAUGACAUCAAGAGAACAAUCGCCUCGUUUUGUGAAAAAACCGGCUGGAAAGGGAAGGACCUGUUGUUUGGCUGCAUCGCUGGUACCUUAAUGUGUACGUACAAGUACAAUGCGACAGGAGCGGGAAUACUAGGAUACAGAUUUGAUGAAGUGAGAAAGGAGCGAGAGGUGAGGAAGCAGAGGGAGGAGGCGGACAAAAACAAUAUUGAUAUUUCAUUCUGCUGA